rnacentral:rRNA from 1 species
AAUGAACGUUGGCGGCGUGGAUUAGGCAUGCAAGUCGAGCGACAACCCCGCAAGGGGGGACAGCGGCAAACGGGGUAGUAAUGUGUCGGAACGUGCCCAGAGGACGGGGAUAGCGGCGGGAAACUGCCGGUAAUACCCGAUGAUCUCGAGAGAGCAAAGGUGUGAUUCCGCCUUUGGAGCGGCCGACAUGGUAUUAGCUAGUUGGCGGGGUAACGGCCCACCAAGGCUUUGAUGCCUAGGGGAUGUGAGAGCAUGAUCCCCACCAUUGGGACUGAGACACUGCCCAGACACCUACAGGUGGCUGCAGUCGAGAAUCUUCGUCAAUGGGCGAAAGCCUGAACGAGCGACGCCGCGUGCGGGAUGAAGGCCCUUGGGUUGUAAACCGCUGUCGAGGGGGAUGAAGGCAUUCAGGUACUCCUGAAUGUUUGACAGAGCCCUGGAGGAAGCACGGGCUAAGUUCGUGCCAGCCGCCGCGGUAAUAC